UCCUACGGGAGGCAGCAGUGGGGAAUAUUGCACAAUGGGCGCAAGCCUGAUGCAGCGACGCCGCGUGAGGGAUGACGGCCUUCGGGUUGUAAACCUCUUUCAGUAGGGAAGAAGCGAAAGUGACGGUACCUGCAGAAGAAGCGCCGGCUAACUACGUGCCAGCAGCCGCGGUAAUACGUAGGGCGCAAGCGUUAUCCGGAAUUAUUGG
rnacentral:rRNA from 1 species